AGAAAGCAUCAAGAACACAUAAUUGUGUACCAACCGACCUUCCGAGGCACGGUGGUUUAGAAUGCGGGACAAUCGUUCAAAAGUUUCGGAAAUC
rnacentral:ncRNA from 10 species